AGCCUGGCGGGUGUGACGAAGGACGGAAGCAGUUUGCCCUUAUUGGAUUGGGUGGGCUGCCUAGUACUUCCAGGAAAUAGCCCCGCCGUAUAGACCGUACCCCAAACCGACACAGGUGGACUGGUAGAGUAUACCAAGGCGCUUGAGAGAAUGGUGUUGAAGGAACUCGGCAAAUUACCCUCGUAACUUCGGGAUAAGAGGGCCCCGUUCCAGCGCAAGCUGGGGCGGGGGGCACAGACCAGGGGGUGGCGACUGUUUACUAAAAACACAGGGCUCUGCGAAGUCGACAAGACGACGUAUAGGGUCUGACGCCUGCCCGGUGCCGGAAGGUUAAAAGGAGGGGUGCAAGCUCUGAAUUGAAGCCCCGGUAAACGGCGGCCGUAACGAUAACGGUCCUAAGGUAGCGAAAUUCCUUGUCGGGUAAGUUCCGACCUGCACAAGGGCGUAACGACUUCCCCGCUGUCUCCAACACCAACUCAGCGAAAUUGAAUUCUCCGUGAAGAUGCGGAGUACCCGCGGUUAGACGGAAAGACCCCGUGCACCUUUACUACAGCUUUGCAGUGGUAUUAGGGAUUGCGUGUGUAGGAUAGGCGGGAGCCUUUGAAGCAUGGUCGCCAGAUCGUGUGGAGGCAACCUUGAAAUACCGCCCUCUCGAUCUCUGAUAUCUAACUCGACCCCGUGAACCCGGGGUGAGGACCCUGCAUGGCGGGUAGUUUGACUGGGGCGGUCGCCUCCCAAAGAGUAACGGAGGCGCGCGAUGGUGGGCUCAAGCUGGUCGGAAAUCAGCUGAUGAGUGCAAUGGCAUAAGCCCGCCUGACUGCGAGAGCGACAGUUCGAGCAGAGACGAAAGUCGGCCAUAGUGAUCCGGUGGUCCCGCGUGGAAGGGCCAUCGCUCAACGGAUAAAAGGUACGCCGGGGAUAACAGGCUGAUGACUCCCAAGAGUCCAUAUCGACGGAGUCGUUUGGCACCUCGAUGUCGGCUCAUCACAUCCUGGGGCUGGAGCAGGUCCCAAGGGUAUGGCUGUUCGCCAUUUAAAGUGGUACGUGAGCUGGGUUUAGAACGUCGUGAGACAGUUCGGUCCCUAUCUGCCGUGGGUGUUCGAGACUUGAGAGGAUCUGUCCCUAGUACGAGAGGACCGGGAUGGACGUACCUCUGGUGUACCGGUUGUGGCGCCAGCCGCAUCGCCGGGUAGCUAAGUACGGCCGGGAUAACCGCUGAAAGCAUCUAAGCGGGAAACCCCCCUCAAAACCAGGUCUCGCUUGAGAGCCGUGAUAGACCAUCACGUCGAUAGGCCAGGUGUGGAAGUGCGGCAACGCAUGAAGCUAACUGGUACUAAUCGCUCCAAA
rnacentral:rRNA from 1 species